AAGAGGGCACAGCUAGCAACAAGACAUGUCAUCACCCUGUUCUUGCUCAUCUCUGGGUACUGUGUGCUUCAGGAAGCCCAAACAAGGGUGAAGUUCAGCUGAAGUCACCACCUACAGUGUCUAACCAGCCUCCUCUCUGAUAUGCAAAAUUAUGAUGACUUGGAAAGCUCAAAGAGAAGUGUCUGGAAUCAGAAUUGCUUGGUGGAAAGGCAAAGCAGGAGGAGUUGGAAUCAAGACACUUGAGAUGAUAGAAGGGUUCACUUUGGGAAAUGCAUAUGGAUAAAUCAAUGACUUCUAAACCUAUUUUUUGGACCCUGACUAUUUCCUGGAAACUACUGGAUAACUUUGUGUCUCCCCAGGACCCACAUUGGAUUAUAAACCUCUCUGGAAGAAAAUCUUACUCAGGAGGCAAACAGACUUCUUCCCAUGAACACUAGGCUAGAAACAACCCAUUAAACCCAUCAAGUGGAGAAUAGAUUCACAGCAAAGCCAGUAAGUAUGCAAAGAGCAGAGUCUAGGAUGGGCAGGUACAUGGUUCAACCACCCUAACCCUGGGACCCUCACAAACACUCACAUAGCUGUUUUCCAACACACAUGGGCUAUGUGCAUAUCUCAGUCUUAAAGUGCCAGACCAGGCAGUGAUUUUUAAAAAGUCUGACAUGCUGGAUUGUUUCAUACUCGUUGAUAGGAAAUGAGAAAGAAGACAAUGGACUCUACAUAGAAAACAUCUAUCUACAAACAUGAGUAAGUGUUUCAAUAAUUGCUGAAGAACAACAAGCCAAUGAAUGCUGCAGGCGAACUGACCUGGGAAAGCUUCCUCUUGGCCAACAUGGAAAUAGGAGGUUCAGAUUGGUGGAGGAAAAGAGGGACACCUCACACUUGCCCAGCAUGAUCAGCAGUAAAAAACACCAUAUGGAGAAGUUCAUGAUCAGGGGAGAGGAAGGCU
rnacentral:lncRNA from 1 species